UACCAGCUCUCCGAGUGGUAGGGAUGUUUAUUGGGCUUAAAGCGUCCGUAGCCGGCUUAGCAAGUCUCCUGUUAAAUUCAGCGACCUAAUCGUUGAGCCGCGGGAGAUACUACUAGGCUAGGAGGCGGGAGAGGUCAACGGUACUUCCGGGGUAGGGGUGAAAUCCUAUAAUCCCGGGAGGACCACCAGUGGCGAAGGCUGUUGACUAGAACGCGCUCGACGGUGAGGGACGAAAGCUGGGGGAGCGAACCGGAUUAGAUACCCGGGUAGUCCCAGCUGUAAACGAUGCGAGCUAGGUGUUGGGGUGGCUACGUGCUACUUCAGUGCCGCAGGGAAGCCAUUAAGCUCGCCGCCUGGGGAGUACGGCCGCAAGGCUGAAACUUAAAGGAAUUGGCGGGGGAGCACCACAAGGCGUGAAGCUUGCGGUUC
rnacentral:rRNA from 1 species